GCGCUCUUAAAAUAAUGAAUUGUGCAGAUUUAAACACCAUAUUUAUUAAGAGUAUGCCGAUUACCUCCUUGGGGUGAUUUCCAGACCAAAGACCUAUAGCAUUCAGAUAUGAUUUAAUCAGCAUUCGCCAAACCCAGUACAUGUGCAUGUCGCCAAGUUUCGGUAUUGGUGGCACCGUAACUUGACUAACUAAUUUUGCAUCUGCGCAGUCCCCCAUAAUACUGUACUUUACUGAUCUGAAUAAAUUUUGAAAAAACCGAAAAAUGGAUCUAAAAACCAUAAAGACAGAAAUAUCAUUACGUUCGGAAGAGCACACUU